GAUGAACGCUGGCGGCGUGCCUAAUACAUGCAAGUCGAGCGAACGGACGAGAAGCUUGCUUUUCUGAUGUUAGCGGCGGACGGGUGAGCAACACGUGGAUAACCUACCUAUAAGACUGGGAUAACUUCGGGAAACCGGAGCUAAUACCGGAUAAUAUUUUGAACCGCAUGGUUCAAAAGUGAAAGACGGUCUUGCUGUCACUUAUAGAUGGAUCCGCGCUGGAUUAGCUAGUUGGUAAGGUAACGGCUUACCAAGGCAACGAUGCAUGGCCGACCUGAGAGGGUGAUCGGCCACACUGGAACUGAGACACGGUCCAGACUCCUACGGGAGGCAGCAGUGGGGAAUCUUCCGCAAUGGGCGAAAGCCUGACGGAGCAACGCCGCGUGAGUGAUGAAGGUCUUCGGAUCGUAAAACUCUGUUAUUAGGGAAGAACAUAUGUGUAAGUAACUGUGGACAUCUUGACGGUACCUAAUGAGAAAGCAACGGCUAACUUCGUG
rnacentral:rRNA from 1 species